AUACGGAGGAUCCGAGCGUUAUCCGGAUUUAUUGGGUUUAAAGGGUGCGCAGGCGGCCAUUUAAGUCAGCGGUUAAAUCGUGGGGCUCAACCCCAUUCUGCCGUUGAUACUGGGUGGCUUGAUUGCGGUCGAGGUUGGCGGAAUUCGUUGUGUGGCGGUGAAAUGCAUAGAUAUGACGAAGAACACCGAUUGCGUAGGCAGCUGACCAGACCGCAAAUGACGCUCAUGCACGAAAGUGCGGGGAUCGAACAGGAUUAGAUACCCUGGUAGUCCGCACAGUAAACGAUGAAUACUUGUUUUCGGCGAUAUAAUGUCGGAGGCAAAGCGAAAGCGAUAAGUAUUCCACCUGGGGAGUACGCCGGCAACGGUGAAACUCAAAGGAAUUGACGGGG
rnacentral:rRNA from 1 species